GCCUGAGCUCUGCCGCCGGCAGCCCCUCUGCCCGGAGAGCCCAAGACACUCAAGCAUCCCCCAGCAGGAGCGGUGAUCCUAAUCCUGACACCAUCUCUCGCAUGGAAUGCAGGGAAGAACCCCGUGUCUCAAUUCUCCCGGACCCCAGCGAAUGGCUGAAUCAAAGAGGUGCCUGCAAAGCAGAUCACCAGAUCCUGAGUCAAACUGAAGAGGAGACCCCGCAGCGGGAGGGCGCUGGGAAAGCGGAGUCGCGCGGGGCGUCAGCAGAGAGAACUGGAGGGGAUGUCUCGCAGCAGAUCCAGCCUGG